rnacentral:lncRNA from 1 species
CUCAGCUUAGAAUGAGGAGUUUUAGAAAAGUUUAGAAAAGGGUUUGGCAGGGGACACUGGCCAGGAGGAUAGUGGCGAAGGCUGCGCCACAGUAUAAAUGUGUUUAAUGCCACUGAGCUGUCCAGUAGAAAUGGUUACGAUGUAAAUGAUACAGUUUACGUUAUCUCUUACAGGGCCGGGGAUGUGGCUCAGUGCAAGGACCCGAGUUCGAUCAUGUGUUAUUUGUUACUACCUGCCUUUUACUGCAUUUUUUAUAUAUUGCAAUACUGGGUGUUGAACCUAGGGAGCGCUAAGUUACAUGUCCACCUCUUUUUUAUUUUAUUUUGACACACAGUCUCCCGAAGUUGCCCAGACUGAUCUCCAACUUUUCAUUCCCCUGCCUCAGCCUCCCCAGAAGCUGGGGUUAUUACAGUCUUGCACCACCAUGCCCAGACUACAAUGUUUUCCUGGAUGCCCACGGGAAAGACAGCAAUCUCUUCUCUCUGGGACCCGAAGUCUUACCAUCUUCAGUAAAGAGGGCUGGAGUCUGCGUUUCCAUGAAGGAGCUGGACGGUCGGCUGGGGACCACCCAGGCUUCUGCGUCUUCUGUUCUGAUGUUAAAUCUGCCUCCGCCUCAGGAAGCCGUCUUUCCUGACCCUCUCAGGAUGCCACAACCUGGUUCACAGGAGAAGCCAGUCCUGGGACAGACCUGAGCGAGGGCAAAAAAUUCCCCCUGUGGAAAGAAAGAGCUCUUCCGGGUAGCCUUUGUUUACCCUGGGGCUGUGAUCGCUGGACUUUGGACACAGGUAUGCGGCCCGGUUCAUCUACCAACUGUGUGAUCAGAACCUCCUGUCCGCUCUGCAAAGCUGGGGUCAAGUUUCCUGAUUCUCCAGGGUGUUGGGAAGAGGGACGGAAGUGACAGAAGAGGCUCCUUCUGGACAGGGACACCUGCAUUUCUGCCUACCUGCCUCCUCUCCUGCUCAUUCCCCAGGUGGCAAAAUGCACAGAAGCCAGGCCUGGUGGUGCACACCUUAAUCCCAGCCCUGGAAAGGCUGAGGCAGGAGGAUCACUGUGAGUUCGAGGCCAGCCUGGACUGCAUAGCAAGACCCUGUCUCAAAAAAAAAAAAAAAAAAAAAAAAAAGCACACAGAAUGACCCUAUCUUAGUCAAAAUGUGCAGGGCCAUUGGCCUGGCUGAGUUCCUGCACUGGGCCCAGUGGACCAAACCACUACAGAGGGUCUGCUGCUGGGGUUCCACAUUAGCACCCAGAAACUAAGGUGCUUGUCGGGAUGCAGAAAGGUAAUGGCUAAGUCUUGAGCCAGGCAUGGGGGCACAUGCCUUGCAAUGCCUUCGCUUGGGAGGCUGAGGCAGAAAGAUCACAAGUUCAAGGCCAGCCUGGGCUACACAGAGACCUUAUCUCAACAAAUCAAAACAAGCUAUUAUAAUACAUUUUCAAAAAUCAACUAGCUAAAUCUCCUCCCAGGGUUUUUUUUUUAAUGACUCUAUUCCCUCUUUCCCACCUUCCAAGCCCAC